ACGGCAACAAGUGGAUUUCUGAAGAACCGGCCUUGGAUAAAGAAAUGGUUAAAUAACAUGUCGUUUAAAGACGAAUUAUUAUUUUAGAAAGAAUUUUUUGCCCUUUUUAUCAUUAUUUCAAUGAUAAGAAUAAUUUUUUAGAUCAAAAUGUAAAGAAACCUCUUCCCUUAAAUAGUGGUGGCAUUUUUUAGAUCUUUAUGCGAUGAACGCAAAAGAAGAAACAUGAAAUCGGCUCUUUCAUUUCUCCCUAUGCCACAAUGAGCAGGAAUCCACUGCAAGACAUUCAAUCAGCCAAGAGUGUUGGGAAUCUUUCUACAUUCGUAAAUUCGUUUAGAAGUGCAAACUUCUGAAAAGCGGCUUUGUUGUCCUGUAUCAAACUUAAAUAAAUUAAAUAAUAAAGAAUUUGUAUGAAUGUA